UACAGAGGGGGCAAGCGUUAUUCGGAAUUAUUGGGCGUAAAGGGCGCGUAGGCGGCUUUGCAAGUGACGGGUGAAAUCCCUCGGCUUAACCGAGGAACUGCCUGUCAGACUGUGAGGCUUGAGACCGGGAGAGGUGAGUGGAAUUCCCAGUGUAGCGGUGAAAUGCGUAGAUAUUGGGAAGAACACCCGUGGCGAAGGCGGCUCUCUGGGACGGUACUGACGCUGAGACGCGAAAGCGUGGGGAGCGAACAGG
rnacentral:rRNA from 1 species